GUCAGACACGACUGAGCAACUUCACUUUCACUUUCGUGCACUGGAGAAGGCAAUGGCAACCCACUCCAGUGUUCUUGCCUGGAGAAUCCCUGGGACGGGGGAGCCUGGUGGGCUGCUGUCUAUGGGAUCACACAGAGUCGGACACAACUGAAGCGACUUAGCAGCAGCAGCAGCAGCAGAAUUUAGAUAUGAGCCUGAAAGGGGAGUAGCUAUCUUGUGACCACAGGAUAAAAGUCAAAAGCUAAGGAUGAUAGAAGAGAAAAAUAGAAGGAGCUGGAGUAUUUGAGGGCCUGCAUCAACCCUGGAUUGCUUACUCGCAGCUUUCUGCUUAUGUAAGAUAUAUGUGUGUGGAAAAUAGCACUUGGAGAGCACCGUCCCACUGUCAUUAAGUAUUCUUUUAAAAUCUCAAUUGUAAUGAUUUCAUAUAAAG